CAUUCUCGAACGUAAAUUAUAGGUUAAGGGGUUAAAGCAGCUUGUAUGGAAAAAUUAUGCAAAGAAUGCUCAAACUCUCAUAUGCACAACCGUUUUAAAUAUUUUCCUCUUAAAAUCAAAAGAAUCGUAGAAUGCAAUAGAUAAUAAUAAUAAUCAUAAUAAUAGGUAAUAAUAUGAAUCAUAAUAAUAAUUAUAGAUAAUAAUAUAAUAAUAAUAACAGAUAAUAAUAAUAAUCGUAAUCGCGUGCACAUUAGAAAAGAAUAGGAUUUUAACACGCGGUUUCGUUUGCUUCUCGUACUUUCUUUUAUAGCUUUUCAGCAUAGAACUAGAAUUACUGAUUAGAGUGGCGAAAACUAUACAUAUGUAUAUAUGUUUGGAUGUAGAAAAAAUGGCGAAAACAGUGGCCCGUUUUCAUUCGUUGCGCCGGUUUCAUUUUCCUUGCACCUUAUCGGAAUGCGAGUUGUCGAAAGUCUUCCUGAUUAUCAAAGUGCGUCAUCGCGAUAUUCAACCGCCAAACAAAAGGUUUUUGUUUUCGGAUCUGGGUUAUCACACAAAUGGACCGUGCGGCCCACCUUAUUCUGAACAGGUAGACACGCUAUUCGAACGAAACGUUUAUAAUGUGCAUUGGCGAUAUUAAUUCGAAACGAGUAUGUCGACGAUCACGCUGCUAAAGUUUUCAAAAAAUACACGGCUUUCGCAGACAGCAUUUUACACGAAGGCCUUUUAAUCUGUCUCUAAAAUAAAACGAAAUAUGGAUAUUUCAUGUAUUGUAAUAAAUUUCAUUUUACAAUUCGUUACGCGUUCAUUUAUUCGUACAAAGAUAUUUCUUUCAUUAUAUAUAGCCAGCGAGCAAUAUUAUUUCAAAAUUUCCAUCCUUUAUAUUAAUAAGUUUUUAAUGUGCUUGCUAUGUUUGCUGCCCAUAUUUCUGUGGAGCUGUUAAACCUGCUGUGCAAAUAACCAAAGAGUUGAAGACUAAAUGUCGACCUUUA